rnacentral:lncRNA from 1 species
AUGAACAGUGGGUUAAUAUGGAUCUUUGGAGCCUGUCUGUCGGUGUGUCUGUGGAGAGCCUGUCAAUGUAAUUGCCCCUAUCAAACCUAUUUGGAAAAUAUGGUAGUUAAACUGCCGAAAAACUAUUUGUUCUUUGUGAAGAUAGAGGAUAAAUCAUGUUCCAGAAGUGUCCAAGAUGCCCUUCACUUGCUCUACUGCCAAAACCAAUCCUUAUUCAACGAUUCAGUCUUUUAUCUACUGUCACAGUGCUUUAAUGUAACGAAAUCUGAUCUGUACUGUAAUGACACAUGCACCACAUUUGACAUGGACGCGGACAUCUACCCUGUGGAAGACUUCACGUGUUUGGUUAAAAAGUCGAUUAAUGAUUCAGAAAAUUGUACCUACCAUAGUUUUGUUUCUUUAAAAACAUGCUUAUACCCUACGCAAGAGGCAUCCCCACAAACACCUGGAUUGAAUUGUAGACCAGUCUCACAGAAACCAUCACCUUCAUCAGUAGCAGCAACUGCAGCCCCAAUAACAUCAUCAUUUACAUUGUCAGCAACAUCAGACCGCAGCAACACAGGCACACGAUGGCAGCCAAGAGAGGUCUCAGUCUGGACAUGUUUGACUGUCUCCUUGACAGUUAAUGUCAUUGUUCUCCUCUGUUUGGUCCACCAGUGGACCAGAGCGAGACGCUAGGAGGCCCUAGCAGGGAAUGAUUCAGUUAGACCCAAGAAAGUGUCUGUCACUCUAUCCAUCUCUCAGAACACAAAAGGAAAUCAUCAGUACAAAUGUAAAUGUUUCUUCCUUUUCCAAGAUGAGGAUAGAGAAAGAUGUUAACAGCCAAAGAAAUGGACCCAGCAGAAAAAUACAAAGAUAAAAUCAAUGGAGAAAAAUGUAAUGAAACUAAUGCAUUAACUCUGUGUUGCUUUACUGAACUUUUUGUCUAUUCUAAGAUGCAGUGCUGGUGUGUGUGUGUUCAUGCAUUAACUUUGUGUUGCUCUACUGAACUAUUUGUCAUAUGUAAGAUGCAGUGUGCAAACUCUUUAAAUGUUCUCUAGUAGUCAGACAAUCAUCAUGCUCGGCUGCUUGUCUUUUUUUCUAUCUAUCAUAUCAACUGAAUGUUGACCUCCAGUGUAUAUUUCAGACAUUCCCAUUGAAAUAGCUUUUAAAAGGAAUCCUUGAUGCAUUUCAAACUUUGUGGCUCCACAAGGUCUAAUAAAGUCAUUCAAUUACCUUUCAAAUGAUAUAUAGUAUAACCAAUAUUGAAACUACCCAGCUACAAGUAUUAUUUCACAUGUUUCUUACUUGGAAGAUAAACCAUAGAAUUCCAUAUGAAGUGUAUGCAUUGUGUUUGGAUUGUUGCUUUGACUUUAAAAAAGCACACACAUAGAUAAACCAGGGUCUUUGAAAGGAUUGCAGAUACAGGGGCAUCAAUAAAACAAUAAAAUAUAAGAUAAAUGUGUUAAUAUUAAAUGUAAAAUACAGAUACACAUUAAGAAUAGCAAUCAGAAUUAACCAAACAUGUUUUGUUUUUUUCAAACAUUGACACUGGGCACCAGAACAUUGACACUGGGCUCCAGAACAUUGACACUGGGCUCCAGAACAUUGACACUGGGCUCCAGAACAUUGACACUGGGCUCCAGAACAUUGACACUGGGCUCCAGAACAUUGACACUGGGCACCAGAACUUUAAGGCUACUUCGCAAGGCAUUCCAUGAAUCUGGUU